rnacentral:rRNA from 1 species
GUAGGAUGCGAGCGUUGUCCGGAUUUAUUGGGCGUAAARAGUUCGUAGGUGGUUUGUUAAGUCUGAUGUUAAAGACUGGGGCUCAACCCUGGAAAUGCAUUGGAUACUGGCAGACUUGAGUGUGGUAGAGGCUAGUGGAAUUCCCAGUGUAGCGGUGAAAUGCGUAGAUAUUGGGAAGAACACCGGUGGCGUAGGCGACUAGCUGGGCCAUAACUGACACUGAGGAACGAAAGCCAGGGUAGCGAAUGGGAUUAGAUACCCCAGUAGUCCUGGCCGUAAACGAUGGAUACUAGGCGUAUCGGGUAUCGACCCCUGAUGUGCCGCAKCUAACGCGAUAAGUAUCCCGCCUGAGUAG